rnacentral:rRNA from 1 species
AACGAACGCUGGCGGCAGGCCUAACACAUGCAAGUCGAGCGAGGACUUCGGUCCUAGCGGCGGACGGGUGAGUAACGCGUGGGAACGUGCCCUUUGCUUCGGAAUAGCCCUGGGAAACUGGGAGUAAUACCGGAUGAGCCCUUUGGGGGAAAGAUUUAUCGGCGAAGGGUCGGCCCGCGUUGGAUUAGGUAGUUGGUGGGGUAAUGGCCUACCAAGCCGACGAUCCAUAGCUGGUUUGAGAGGAUGAUCAGCCACACUGGGACUGAGACACGGCCCAGACUCCUACGGGAGGCAGCAGUGGGGAAUCUUAGACAAUGGGGGAAACCCUGAUCUAGCCAUGCCGCGUGAGCGAUGAAGGCCUUAGGGUUGUAAAGCUCUUUCAGCUGGGAAGAUAAUGACGGUACCAGCAGAAGAAGCCCCGGCUAACUCCGUG